rnacentral:tRNA from 1 species
AGAAGUUUAGGUUAAACCAGACCGAGAGCCUUCAAAGCUCUAAGCAAGCCCUCACAGACUUAACUUCUG